rnacentral:rRNA from 1 species
UACAGAGGCCACGAGCGUUAGGCGGAAUCACUGGGCUUAAAGCGUGUGUAGGUGGAUGGGUAAGUACCUUGUGAAAUCCCACGGCUCAACCGUGGAACUGCUUGGUAUACUGCCUGUCUUGAGGCACUCAGGGGCGAGCGGAACAGAUGGUGGAGCGGUGAAAUGCGCAGAUAUCGGGAAGAACACCCGUGGCGAAGGCGGUUCUCUGGGACGGUACUGACGCUGAGACGCGAAAGCGUGGGGAGCGAACAGG